ensembl:snRNA U6 U6 spliceosomal RNA
UUGCUCACUUCAGCAGCAAAUAUACUAAAAUUGGAAUGAUACAGAGAAGAUUAGCAUGCCCCUUGUACAAGGAUGACACACAAAUUCGUGAAGCAUUUUU